rnacentral:misc_RNA from 1 species
GAACUGCGAUAAGUAAUGUGAAUUGCAGAAUUCAGUGAAUCAUCGAGUCUUUGAACGCACAUUGCGCCCCCUGGCAUUCCGGGGGGCAUGCCUGUCCGAGCGUCAUUGCUGCCCUUCAAGCCCGGCUUGUGUGUUGGGUCGUCGUCCCCUCCGGGGGACGGGCCCGAAAGGCAGCGGCGGCACCGCGUCCGGUCCUCGAGCGUAUGGGGCUUUGUCACCCGCUCGAUAAGGACCGGCCGGGCGCCAGCCGGCGUCUCCAACCUUUUUUUCUCAGGUUGACCUCGGAUCAGGUAGGGAUACCCGCUGAACUUGCGC